rnacentral:snRNA from 1 species
AUCAGGCGGAUCAAACGUAUCAG